rnacentral:rRNA from 1 species
CUACGGAGGGUGCAAGCGUUAUUCGGAAUCACUGGGCGUAAAGGGUGCGUAGGCGGUUUGAUAAGUCUGAUGUGAAAUCCUAUGGCUCAACCAUAGAACUGCAUUGGAAACUGUCAGACUAGAAUACUGAAGGGGCAGAUGGAAUUAGUGGUGUAGGGGUAAAAUCCGUAGAUAUCACUAGGAAUACCGAAAGCGAAAGCGAUCUGCUGGGAAGUUAUUGACGCUGAGGCACGAAAGCGUGGGGAGCAAACAGGAUUAGAAACCCUAGUAGUCC